AUUGAACGCUGGCGGCAUGCCUUACACAUGCAAGUCGAACGGUAACAGGUCUUCGGAUGCUGACGAGUGGCGAACGGGUGAGUAAUACAUCGGAACGUGCCCGAUCGUGGGGGAUAACGCAGCGAAAGCUGUGCUAAUACCGCAUACGAUCUACGGAUGAAAGCGGGGGAUCGCAAGACCUCGCGCGGACGGAGCGGCCGAUGGCAGAUUAGGUAGUUGGUGGGAUAAAAGCUUACCAAGCCGACGAUCUGUAGCUGGUCUGAGAGGACGACCAGCCACACUGGGACUGAGACACGGCCCAGACUCCUACGGGAGGCAGCAGUGGGGAAUUUUGGACAAUGGGCGCAAGCCUGAUCCAGCCAUGCCGCGUGCAGGAUGAAGGCCUUCGGUUGUAAACUGCUUUGUACGGAACGAAAAGACUCUCUCUAAUACAGGGGUGAAUGACGGUACCGUAAGAAUAAGCAACCGGCUAACUACGUGCC
rnacentral:rRNA from 1 species